GACGAACGCUGGCGGCGUGCUUAACACAUGCAAGUCGAACGGUAAGGCCCUUCGGGGUAUACGAGUGGCGAACGGGUGAGUAACACGUGGGUGAUCUGCCCUGCACUUCGGGAUAAGCCUGGGAAACUGGGUCUAAUACCGGAUAGGACUCCGGACUGCAUGGUCUGGGGUGGAAAGCUUUUGUGGUGUGGGAUGGGCCCGCGGCCUAUCAGCUUGUUGGUGGGGUGAUGGCCUACCAAGGCGACGACGGGUAGCCGGCCUGAGAGGGUGACCGGCCACACUGGGACUGAGAUACGGCCCAGACUCCUACGGGAGGCAGCAGUGGGGAAUAUUGCACAAUGGGCGCGAGCCUGAUGCAGCGACGCCGCGUGAGGGAUGACGGCCUUCGGGUUGUAAACCUCUUUCAGCACCGACGAAGCGAAAGUGACGGUAGGUGCAGAAGAAGGACCGGCCAACUACGUGCCAGCCGCCGCCGUAA
rnacentral:rRNA from 1 species